AAAUCAUGCAUCGGGCAUGUAGGCAACAAACCUUUGAAUCUUUCCCACACUUCAUAUAGAUUUUCAUCCUCCAUUUUCUUGAAAUACGUGAUGUCAUUUCUAAGCCU